rnacentral:lncRNA from 1 species
GGCUGCACCUGGAGCAUAUGGAAGUUCCCAGGCUAGGGAUUGAAUCAGAGCUGCAGCUGCUAGCCUACGCCACAGCCACAGCAAUGUCAGAACUGAGCCAUGUCUGCGAUCUACGCCACAGCUCAUGGUGACACCAGAUCCUUAACCCACUGAGUGAGGCCAGGGAUUGAAUCUGUACCCUCAUAGAUACUAGUCAGUUUCAUUACUGCUGAGCCACAAUGGGAGCUCCCAUGGCUGUUUUAAUUGAGCCAAAAAAGAUCUUAUUUACUGAUCUUAUCUCCCUCUUUUCUCCCCCCAGGUAGUGUACCAUAUGAUUAAGCAAUUCCACUUCUCUGUAUAUAUCUAUAAGAAUUAAAACCAAGGUCUUAUAAAGAUAUUUGUAUACCCACGUUUAUAGCGGCACUACUCACAAUAGCCAAAGGAUAGAAGCAACCCUGGUGUUUACUGAUCAAUAAAUGAAUAAACAAAAUGUAGUAUAUCCAUGCAAUGGAACAUUACUUAACUUUGAAAAGGGAAGAGAUUCUGGAGUUUCCACUGUGCUGCAGUGGGUUAAGUAUCCCACUGCAGUGGCUUAGAUCGCUAUGGAAGCAGGAGUUCAAUCCCUGGCCUGGAUCAUUGGGUUAAAGGAUCCAGCAUUGCCACUUUAAUUUGCAUAGUUUACAGCUGAGGCUUGGAUUCAAUCCCUGGCCCAGGGAACUUCCAUUUGCUGUGGGUGCGGCCAUAAAAAAAUAAAUAAAUAAAAGGAAUGGAAUGCUGACACAUGCCACAACAUGGAUUAUCCUUGAAGUUAUGCUAAAUGAAGUCACAAAAGGACAAAUAUUGUAUGAUUUCACUUAUCUGAGGUAUUUAGGGUAGUUGGAAUGCUUAGAUAUGGAAUGUAGCGUGGUGAUUGCCAGGGGCUGGGGAGAGGGGGGAAUGGAGAGUUAUUGAUUAAUGCAUACAGCGACAGGUCCAGUUUUGUAAGACGAAAAGUGUUCUGGAGAUGGAUGGAUGGAUGUCAUUACAUAACAAUAUGAAUGUACUGAAUGCCACUGUUCUAUACACCAGAAAAUGGUGAAUGUUAAGUGUAUUUUACCACAAUUUAAACAAAAUUAAAAAGUGUAUCAUUUAGAAAUCCUUCUGUUGCAGGUUUCAGAAAAGUAGAAUCCAAACAAGCUUAAGCAAAAUGGAUUAUAGCUAACCCAUAGAAGAAGAAGAGCUCCGCAAAGGUUGGGCUUUAGCACAGCCUGGUCCAGAGUCCAGGCAAGGUUGCAGCAAUGAUUUCUUUGCUCUCAGAGCUACCUUCCACUUUGUGGUCUUCAUGCUCCAUCUCUGUGUCUUGGCAAGGUGGCUGCAGCAAGACUCCACUCAAAUCACAUCCAUCAGGGGAGGAGCAAAAGCCUUUUUUUCCCAGGAAGUCCCAUUUAUUCCUAUAAUGUCUCCUUGGUCUUGAUUGGGUUAUCACCCCAGGCCCCAGCCAAUCACUGUGCCAGGGGAAUUCAAUGCCCUGAUUGGCUUAGGUGGAGGUGAUGUCACUGGCAGCACAGAAUGAGAGUCAGAAUGGGAUGAUCCCCCAGAGGGGUCUAUAUCUGGUCACCAAAAAGCAAUGCCACUAAAGGAUUGUGUAACUUAUCUUCCUAUGCUAUGAAAAACUUUCAUAUACUUCCAUUUUUAUGGAACAGUAUCUAACCACAUCAACAUACCCUAAUGUAUUAAACAUCCUCCAACUCCUUUGGUAAAUGUUGCAAAGUUGCUUUCCAGAAAUACUCUUUUACUAUUCAUUCCCAUCGGCAAAGCCUAAGAGCAACUGUCUCACCACUCCCUCACCUAUAGUUCUUUCUAGUAUUAGUAAUUUGAUGAAUGAAAAUAAUGUUAAUUUGCAUUGCUAGCUGACCUAGACUAUAUCUUCCCUACAUUUUGGUUACCCAAAGGCCUUCGACCUUCCAGAAGGUACAGUAGUUGCUGCCUUUCAUCCACACUGGUCCAGGGCCAUGCUCAAGAAUCAUAUUUGGUACCAUGAUCUACGUGCAGAGAGAGGGCCAGAGGGAUCCAGAGGUGCCUGGGUGCUCUUCGGGAAGACUGAACGCCUUUAGCCCAGAGCCUGGCACAUGGUAAACAUUCGACAAGUACUUAGCAUUGCUCUUGUAAGUAUGAUGUCUCAUCUUACUAUCACUAUUUCUAUCACCCCAGAGGCAGCUCUGCCCUCCCCUUCUGCAGAGCUCCUACUUUGGCUGUGCUCUCCAUUAGGGAUGCUUCAUGCUCCUCCCCACUGUCCUCCACCUGGGACCAUAGAUCCUAUCCUGCCUUUCAGUGCCUGCCCAGACUCCCCUCCUCCACACAGCCUGUGUUCUGAGCAAUGGCAUCCUGUUGGAUUUGCUUGACAACCCCUGCAAAGGGCCCUAGGACUGCUGUCUGCUCUUGGCUUCAGUUGGUCAAAUUGCAUCCUUCCUGGAAUUUGAUGCACCCAGCGAACCAGCUCUGUGUUCACAGUGGAUCUGAAGUACCUUCUGGGCAGGCCUCUGAACUUAUCUCUGCAUAUGUACUUGGACACCUCGGGGUGCUCCAUAGAGUAUGUUGGCCAAGCUGGCUCUGCGUCCAUGGCUGCCAGCUCAGCCUCGUCCCCCUCUCUAUAUUUGAUGCCCAGACAGUUUGACAUUACUCUGCUGCAGCAAUUCUUAACCAAAGCCUCUGUAGCAUUAUCUCUCCCAGGACUUAGGAAUUACAGAAAUAGAAUCAUCACAUGCCUUUGCUAUGAGAGAGU